AUACGUAGGGGGCAAGCGUUAUCCGGAUUUACUGGGUGUAAAGGGAGCGUAGACGGCGCUGCAAGUCUGGAGUGAAAGCCCGGGGCUCAACCCCGGGACUGCUUUGGAAACUGUGGCGCUGGAGUGCAGGAGAGGUAAGUGGAAUUCCUAGUGUAGCGGUGAAAUGCGUAGAUAUUAGGAGGAACACCAGUGGCGAAGGCGGCUUACUGGACUGUAACUGACGUUGAGGCUCGAAAGCGUGGGGAGCAAACAGGAUUAGAUUCCCUGGUAGUCCACGCCGUAAACGAUGAAUACUAGGUGUCGGGGAGCAAAGCUCUUCGGUGCCGCAGCUAACGCAAUAAGUAUUCCACCUGGGGAGUACGUUCGCAAGAAUGAAACUCAAAGGAAUUGACGGGG
rnacentral:rRNA from 1 species